rnacentral:rRNA from 1 species
UACGUAGGUGGCGAGCGUUGUCCGGAAUUACUGGGUGUAAAGGGCGUGUAGGCGGGGUUUUAAGUCAGAUGUGAAAUUCCCAGGCUCAACUUGGGCGCUGCAUCUGAAACUAAAGCUCUUGAGUGCUGGAGAGGAAAGCGGAAUUCCUAGUGUAGCGGUGAAAUGCGUAGAUAUUAGGAGGAACACCAGUGGCGAAGGCGGCUUUCUGGACAGUAACUGACGCUGAGGCGCGAAAGCGUGGGGAGCAAACAGG